rnacentral:antisense_RNA from 1 species
ACAGUGUAGGAUCCGGUCAACAGGACCAGGACAGCACUGGCUACACUGGCUUAUUGAUUACAUCCCACAAUAGAAAGGAUGCUCAGGCAUAUGGCCUCAGAAACAUGGGCUAUUGAGACAGAGAAAAAGACAACUCUGGAAGGAGAGAGCCUGGACUUACAGAAGACAUCUGAACUAUUAAUCAACAGAAAUCUCACGUAUAGUUGAAGAAUCAGAAAUCUGAGCGUAGGAAGAAGUGGGUUAGCCCUGGAGAAAGGAAAAGGAGGAUCAUAGUUCUCUGCAAAGAGCUGGAAGCUAAAAAGCAGGCUGUGUUUACUUACCAACCAGGACACAGUGGGAUCUUUGCCAGCUUCCAAUAUGGCCUUAAAAGUAUAUGAAAUCCAAGAAAUAUUUCUGCAAAGCAAGAGAUCUUCACUGCUUUAUUUUCCACCACCUGAAUCCUUGCAGUGAGUGUAGUGUGUAUCUAAUCAAUCUAUUAAAAAAUACUUCAAAAGUUCUA